CGCCCUGCGGACGGAAGUGCCUUUCUCGAUGUGACAGGUGAACUCUGCACUCUUAAGAGGAAAGCUACUAAUUAGCAAGGCUUACCAAAAAUUUGGAAAUCUGAAUUAUCCUUGCGAUUGCUGUUACAGUACCCGAGGAGAGAGAAAAAGGUUCUGUAUAAAAAGGCUAACCUGAUAGCCAAGCUAAGAAGUCAAAAGGCAAGUAUCUUCCUUAUCCAAGAAUUAAAAGGCAACGUUUUGGAAAAGGGUCUGCUUUAGAAGGCACGAUAUAUCUUUAACUUACCUGUAAUAAAACUAAUAGUAAAAAACACAUAUUCUAUGACUGUAGUCUGAAAUUUGGACAAGGAUUAGAUUUAUAAACUAGUGCAAACUAAGAGUGAAACACAAGAACACAUCGGGAGUAGAACAGAACAGUACUGGAUCUUUGAAAUUGUUAGAGCACUCGCAAAUUAUAAUUAUUCUUAGCUGUUUACUAAAGCAUGAUCUCCAUGAAACUCCUCUGUAUAAGAUUUCUAAAACUUUUCUUCCUUCAGUAUAUCUUAAACUUCAGUUCUUACUAAACCCUGCCUUUUCCCUCCCCUUUCCUCCUCUCAACGUGGACUAGCCUGGAUUCUGCAAACUAUUUCCAUUUUCUACUAACUUUUGAAAGCACCGAGGGGAACUUUUUUUUUUUUACUGAGGAAUCUGGAAGGCAGCUUUAUUGAUCUUACGCCAGCGGGCUGGGGGACUAUAACAGAAUCCAAAUCCAAAUCACCAGCCAGAGAGUCAGCUCUGAGUUCAUUUAAAUACAGUUUGCAAGCAGGAAGUGCAAGGCGGGUGCCAGGUUAUCACCAUUGACAUGAAUUGAAAUAAGUAACCUAUUUUCAGGCAAGCUAAUUGUAAAUGAAUUUGCUUAAAAUGAAUCAUUUACCAUAAUAUCAGAACAUCCUGGAGACAAAGGGGAUUUGAGUGGAGCAAGCAAAGUUAAAGGUGUCUUUGCCUGCGUUAUUUUGUCCCAAACAAAAUCCUUGAAGCAAGUUGGGAACAAUAUAUAUUUAUUUAUUUAUUUAUUUUUAGGAAUGGAACUGACAACCUCAUGCUUGCCAGGCAGGUGCUUCUGCCACUGAGCUAAAUCCCUGGCCCAACAAUAUAUGUUCUUUUAACUAAGGGAAACAAGCUGGAGAUAGUCAAAUUGACCCAGCACAGUUAGAAACAAAGCAGCUGGACUCAGACAAUCAAGGCUGACUGGGUUUAGCAGGGAAGGGACAAAAUUUAGGCCUUUUCAAAGAAUUUAAGCAAAUUUGUUUUUCCAGUAACUACAGAAUUAGGAAUGUAAGGACUAGGAUAAAGCAUACUAGAGUAUAUUUAAUUCAUUGCAGAUAUCACAAAUGAGGGAAGACACAGAAUUAAGCAUGUGUUGACAGGAAUAACCAGACUUUUUCUUUUUCUCCAGAUUUCCCCAAAAUCUGAUGGAAUCAAAAUCCACUUUUUCAUGUGUGGGUUAAGAACAGCCUCAAGAACUCAUGUAAAUAAAAGACAAUACAACCAAGUCUUGUUUACUCAUUAGUCAUGUCCUGAUAUUAACAAGUAACUCUUAUGAGUUAGGACUAAGAAUCUCAUAGUUUUAGGUCUUUUGGAAAGGCAGAAGCAGUGCGUAGGGCAUAGGAGGCUGGGGUGGGCUACUGGCAAGUGGAGCUCAUGGGAGCAGAGUAUCAUCAGUACAGGUAAAGUCCGAAGUGGUAGAAAUGAUAAGCUUCCCAAUCAAAAUUCUCUCCAUGCUUACCUCCUUUUUAUUUUGCCACCCUUAAUUUUCACCAGAUAGGUGAUUUAGACGUUAACUUUGUAGAAAUCAACUAGUUUCUUUAGUAUAUCCGAAGAAGCCAGGUGUGUUGUUGGUGCACACCUGUAAUCCCAGCACUCCGGAGGCUGACGCAAGAGGGCUGCUUUGAAGUUCAAGACCAGCCUGGUCUACAAAGUGAAUUCAAAGCCUGUCAGAACUGCAUAGUGAAACUAUCUUAAAAAAAUUAAAUAUCCCAAGUUUUGGAAUUGAGUCAUCUAGUUGAAGGAUUUCCCUUGUCCUUCAGUAAAAUUUGCAAAUACUCUAAACAAAAAUGUUGCCACAAAUGGGCAGAUUUCUUAAAAAAAAAAAGUGUAUCUGCCAUACCUAACUAUGGCCCAGAUUAGGGAUUAACUAAGGACUGCUUUGAAUACCUUUCUUUGUAGCAACUUUCAGUCCUCUCUUGCAGUGAUACGGCUCCAAAGUAGGCCUCCAAAUGCUCUAUCUACCACUGAGCUAUCCCAGCUCAACUACGAAAUCCAGCUCUCAAAAUCAAGCAGUAACGAUUAUGUACAUACCCAGAUCCUUUAGACUCCUAGCAAUGUGUGAACGUGUAUGGUUAGACUGGAUAUGGGUGGCAAACGGACAUUUUUAAAAGAGACAAAACAUAUAACAUGUUAAUUGGACAAAUUUAAACUGAACUGUCCCCAGCAAACUUUAGUCACUUCCCAAGAGGACUCUCCUCAGAAUAACUUAAACCUUAGCAAAUUCUAUACUUGGUAGCUUACAGCCCAGCUUGUCUUGGCCUCUCUCAAAUCGUGAAAUUCUCUCCCACCACCACUAGUGGUCUCUGAGACUUCAUUUUCUCAAGUCUGUGGCUUUACCUUAAUGCUAUGCCCACAUAAUGGGUAAGACUCAUUUUUAUUACAGACCCUAUACUGGACUCUACUAUAGUUUCCUCAAGUUAUGCAGCUAUGAAUAAAUGUAAUUCUACUUUUUGCAAAAACGAGUGAUCACAUAAAUGACCCCAUAUUCAUUUGAGGUUAAACAAUGAUUCUCAAAUGGAAUGAAACAGGGAAACAGCCAUCCAAGGUGACUUAAUUUGUAAACCCUGCAACUUUAUACUACAGAUAAAACAAUACUGUGUGCAUAAAUAGCCUGUGUUUUGCUUCACUAUGUUUGUUUUCAGAAAAAAAUUCCUGGUCGAUGGAACUUCCAAAAUAAGAAAAAAAGAAAAAAAAAAAGGCUGAGGGCUGGACAUUUAGCUCAGUGGCAAGCAGGUGGUCUUAAGUUUGAUCCCCAGUAUAAAAAAAGAAGGAUGAGUAAUGGAAUGAAGAAAUACAUGAUCUUUUUUCUCCUACCCAUCUGUCAUUUAAACUGAAGGAAUGGAUAGUGUUCUUCUCAUGCCACAGAACGUGUGAAAAUGAAAAAUUCAUUUACUACCCAGAGGUACCCACUAGCAUCUACAUCAGUUACACAUAUCUGAUAAAAACUUUAAAAUCUACCACAAUAUACAGGACAUUUUGGGUAUAUGUUAAAUACUUGGGGUUCAUUAUACAUUAGCAUGUAGAAUCUAUCCAUUAAUUUUUGUUUGUCUGUACUAGGGACCAAACUCGCGACUGUGCACUUGCAAGGCAGGCGCUUAUGCAGCUGAGCUAAAUCCCCGGCCCUUCCAUUAAUUUUUCUAACCUGUUACGUAACAGAUCUCUGCCAUGACAGUAUUUGCUUUUGUUAACUUCAGGUCAUAUUAUGUCUUUUGAAAGGUAACUACAUUUAAAACACUCAAUUGGGACCCUUGCUUUGAUAGCUGUUAAUCAUGGCAUCAAACAUGAAACAAUGACUUUGUAUUUUCCUUCAUCAAGCAUACAGAAAAGCAUAUUCCUUCAUUCUUAGUUUCUAUCCAAUGCCUCCUGUUUACAAGGCACUCACCCACAGCCUGAAUUACAAAGGAUCCUUAGAACCAUCCCAAAUCAACAUCAGAAUACUUGCAAAAACCACAGAGUGGUCAAAAUGACUUGAGAAGGAAACUCAAGAAAUAGAAUAAAGGGAGCUAUUUAUGGAAUGAUACUCCUUUAGGAAGUGGCAGAUUCAAUCCAGAGGCUGCUUUUCAGCAUCAACACCUCUAUGUACACUUGAAUUGAAACGUUUUAGUUAUUAAUAAAAUCACUUGCAUAAUUUUAGCCUGUGUGGUUGCAAAUGACUGAUUAUAUAGAUUUCUAGUGCCAGGCAGGGAAGAUUGUUUGGGCUAAAGGGCUAUACAUGCAUGUGUACACUGUAAGCAACUUACAACUAGUGGAGUCAUUUUAAGGGUGGUGAUGUGGAGGAAAUCAGGAAGAAUAUGCCCAACAAAAGGGACCAUGACUAGGCGAAAUCUACUUUUGGAGUUUGAAGUACAGAAUUGCCACAAAACAAAUGACUAACUUAAGACAGACUCCAGGCCUCCUCCUCUCUCUUGAGCAGCCAGUAUUGUGACCUUGGAACAAAGUAACUUCUAAGUUUGUAUUUAGUCAUUUAUGAUAUAAUGGUAAUUAUCCACAUCACAAACAGCUGUGAGAUUAAGUCUUGCUUGGCACAUAACAGAUGCUCACAUAAACAAGGUGCUUUUAUCUAACCUGUAGGAAAUUUAAAUCGGGUGUCUUUGUCUAUCCUUAGCUGAAAUAAAAUGGAACUUCUUCUGGCCUUCUUAUUCCAAGGUUACAGAUGCAUUUUAUGUUCAAAAGCAACCCAAUUCUCUGUCUAAAUUGUAUUUCUAAUGCUCAAGGUACCCAUUCUAAUAACCUAUUCUUUUUUAACAAUAAAGCAUGUUAUGGAAGUGUUUUUAUAUCUUACUGUAUCAUCUUCAAUUAUUAGCCUUCGAUUACUUUUAACAUUUUUAAAAAAUUAACUUUUGAUGACAGAAAAACCAGCACAACUUAGCAGAUACAUAAUCUGUUCACUCAACAAUUGAAGAAAAUAGCCUGACUAAUCCAGGAUAUCAACAUAUUUCAUUUGAAGCUUUCAUUUACAGGUAUAUCUAUCUGCAAAUGAGCAAACUUUGGAAGGUAGAAGGUAGCAUACAGUAAAUAAAUUAAAUGCAAACCACACCCCUUUGUUUACUGAAGAUCUUAGACAUCAAUUUCUUAUUUACAUAAAAAUCCAACCCCUAGCAAUUAUCAGUUGGACAUUUUUCACAAAACUAACCACUGAAAAAUCUCUUGAUCCAAGGAAAAUCUUUUUAUAAUGCAUCCUCAAGUGGGGGAUCAAAUAGCUGAAAUGUUUAUUUAGCACUAGAGAAAUAAACUCCAAGUUGCCUGUAAGUAGCUAUUUACAAUAAAGGAUUUAGUUGACAGUCUUGUUGAUAAAAUAUACUUAGGACAUAUUUUUUCUUAGAAUCAGCAGCAACUGGUAGUAAUUCAGGUUUAUUAUGGGACAAUUGCUUUUUUUCUUCUGUGACAAUAAAGCUGAAAAUGACCCAGAGUCCAACUUUAUCUGAUAUGUGGAAGAAACAAUUCUAGGACAAGAGUUUUCAAAAGCAGUGCUACUGACAGAGGCAAUAAUUAAAAAGGGUCUUGACAAGAACAGCAAGCGCUGCAUCCGUCAUCUUUAUCUUCCCCGGUGUUUCUCCAUCCAGCCAUAUCUACUUGCUGAUCCUUCAGACACCAGGUGCCUUCACAAGUUCUCUGAAUGAUUUUUGCCCACCAAAGUUCUCAUUACAAAGACAUACUUUGAAAUUUUGAAGGGAGGGGUGAAAAAAAGGGAAGGAAAAACAAAGCCACAUUCCCUCAAUAAAUAUAUGAAGCCACAAGAUUUCUUGUGUUGAAACUGACAUGUUCUUGUAUGAGAAACACCUUGAGAUAAAAGUACUCAAUAAACUAAUAAAUUGAGAAAUUAUUAGGGUAUGAAAAACAGAAUUUAUAGUUCCCUCUUACAGUGCCAUUUCUACAAAAGACUGCUUUACCAGUAUCAAGCUCCAGCACAUAUGAAUUAUGCUGGAUCUAACUUCAAUCAAUUUUAAUUUUUAUACUUAAAAAAGCAUUUUAUUAUAAACACAAAAGGUUUACUUCAGAUGUUAAGGUUCAUGAACUUCUAUGACCAGGAGCAAGAUAAAUUCUUCUGUUUUAGACAAAAUAGAUCACAUAAGUUAAGUAGACUUUGUUUUAAUUCAUUCAUUGAGAUUCCUGUAAUUGCCAACAAAAAUUCCCACUAUAUGCUAUUCUUACUAAUGUGGGGAGACAAUGUUGUGUGCUUUAUAGUUUUACCCAAAUUGAUUCAUAAAAUGAAAAAAAUUAAUAGAAGGUACAUAAUUUAAAACAUUCUAUAGAAAUGACACAUUACCAGUAAUUUACAAUUUAAAAAAAAAAUCAGCCACAAAAAAGGUCAAAGCUAAAAACAAGAUUUUUACUAUGAAUCAGUGCUCUAUUACCCUUCUGAAAGAAGUUAUACUUUAAUGUGAUGUAAAGGCAACAUUGAAAGUUCUUUAAAUUAACCACCUAAUUUAUCCCUAAAGUUACAAAGAAUCAAAGUCUUUUACAGGUCAAGUGCGGUAAACUAAAAUGUUCUCUCAGCACAAAGCAGCACUAGAAAAAAUAACAGUAUGGAUUGGAGUUGACAAGUUUUGCAGUGGCUGCUCCAUCAAUAACAAUAAACAUCAGACAGUAUCCAUCCCAGAGCACAGACACUAGACUAGAAGCGAAGAAUGCAUCACACUCUUGGCUGAUAAAUAUCCUUUGUCUUUGAAUCUACUUUGAAUGAAGUGAAUUUUUUAAAGAAGUGUAAAUCAGGUCACAUAAGUUGGCUGCUUAAAUAUCAUGAUGAGGUAUGAAAGCUCUGAAUAUCCCCUACAUUCAGCAGGAUUUACCAGAGACGAAUAAUAGCUUGUCAGGGGCAACUCCAGAUAGUUUUUACUUUGGGAUUACAACGAAUUCUAGAAGAGUGUAAGUUCUAAGGAAGUUUAAAAGGAUAUGCUCUGAAACAGAAGUGAGCAACUUUUCCUUCAGAAUUCAUUUUGAACAGAACAUCAUCAAAAUAUCUUCUCUGUCAGUAUCCCAACAUUGAAUCAUGAUGGCCAACUAGCACCGAGAAGUCGUAUUGAACUCAUUUGCAGUUCUCUUGGCAAUUAAGCUUAUUUUUUCAUUCCAGUCCAAGCACAAAUGUGGAUCAGUGAACAGAGUACUGGAAGCGCCAUUUGCAUGUACAGAUUGCAGUCACCAUUAAAUGAGCCAGAAGGUGGACACUGGUUUUAUUGGGGUGUGGUAGGGCACUAGCAUUAAAAAAAAAUGAUGAGGAAACCAUGAGGUUAGGAGAAAAAGAUCACUGCCCUUAUGUGGGGUAAGCAGGUCAUACUGAGAUUUGAUUUUUAAAGAUAAGGAAGCUAUGUUACAGGGAUCAAAUACGCAGUACAACUAUAUUAGAAUCAAGCUGCACCUAAGGGGGAAAAACCAGUAAGUAACUUUAAAAGUGUUAUCUGCCAUUCUGAGGAGAAAAGCACCUAGGGUAAACUCCAAUUCACUGAGGACCUUGAUCAGGACCACAAAGCCUGAAACAUUGUUCUAUAUUGCAGAAACACAGCCUCUCAUCACACUGGUUGAGUCUGGGAAAAUUGGAGGGUUUGUUUUUCUUAUUUUAAAACUGAAUUACAAGAUAGGUGUGUUUAGGCUAAAGACUAAAUCUUCAUACCAGCACUGGAACUGAACCACUUCCAAAUCCUAAGACACAUAAGACCAAAGAGAAGCAAAAGCCAUACACAUUAAUAUGUGCUCCUCUCCUUUCCGCUUUAAAGGAUCUGCAAACCAGUAUUACAUUUAAGAGUUAAAAGUGUUAAUUCCUCAGCAUUCCCGACAACUAGAAAGCACAUUCACUGAAGGCUGAAGGUGAGGGAGUGGAUGGUUUAACUUUUAACAUCUGAAGAAUGGUGCCAAUAGAGAAAAGAAAACCAUCCAAUCUCAGUAAGGAUUAAUGCAAAUUUGGCUAGAAAAGCCACCAGGUAAUCCAAGGAUUCACUGUGGAAGAACUCAUGAAAGUACUCUGAAGUAUACACAACAGGUCUAAACAUCUCCCUUGUCGCAAGUAGUUAUGUGAAAUUCAAGAUGAAGGUUUAGUUUUAUAUUUUAAUGUCAGUAUUUUUUCCCUCACUUUAAAGGGAUUGAGGAAGAGUCCUCUUUUUCGCCACAAAAAGGGAGCCACAUUAGUAUGUGUAUAUUCCCACGACUCUAACGUAAGUGCGGAUCUCCAAAGCCUAGGGAUUUUUCCGUAAGAGUGGGCCGUUCUGGUUACUCUUUUGUUACAAUGGUAUUCCACCAUGGAGAGCCAGAGGUUUUCCAGGUGUGUGUAAGAGAGCAGGUGCGCAAGGCAAGCAAAUGAGCGCAAACAGUAUUAUGGAAAACAUUCGAGAAGUUAGCUCCAUGAGGACUCUGGGCUCCACACGAGAACGCGACUGCGUAGCCUGGUCUGACACGGGAACACGAAAGCAGAGUAUUGCUUCAAAGCUGGAACCCUUCCAUAGGAGCCUCGCACUGCUGGAAGAUGUACUGCUGCUGGCUAAGGUCAACCUGUGGAGCAAUGCUGCUGUCUUCAUCUUCGGUCCCAAAGUAAUGCUCAAUAAGAUCAAAGGCCUUCUGGUAGAUCUCCUGGUUUUCAUGACUCUGUAGGAACUCAAUUUUAUCCAGACCUAGAAUGAAGAAUAAAGGAAAAUCUUUAUUGGAGAGUCUCAUAAGCUUUUUAUCACAGGUGUCCUUCCUGGAUGUAAACAAGGCUUCUCUAUUUAUAAUAGUAUAAAAAUGACUUCCAGGACUGUAUCUGAAAAUAGUACAGUGGCAUCUCAGUUUAUGAAUUUAAGUCUUUGUCAGGUUCUGGAAAAGAUGACCAUUUGUGUUCAUGCAGGAAAGAUGGCUGUAAACAUAAUGUAGAGUUCACAAAGACAAAAUUUCCCCAAGUACUUCAGUUUGCAGACCAAACUGUUCAAAAACAAAAGCAUCUGAACGAAGCUACCACUGUAUUAUGAACUGCCAUUUUAAACACACAUGAGAGACUAUCCAGUCCACAGAAGGAGCAACUUCCGUAACAACUGCCACAUCAUCCACUGUCUUGUGUGUUUUCCUGGACUGUAUUUAGGACCUAAUUAAUCUUUGACCAUAAGUUUCUUCAAAGCAUCUUACCAUAAGCUUCUUCAAUCAAAGCGCAGUAAGGGUUAAUGCCAGUGCCAUUCCUUUUGGCUUCCUGUUCUCCAAGCCUCAGGAUAUUUUCCAAGCCAUUUAAGGCAACCUGUACAAUCUUAGAGUCCAUGACAGUGAGAAGAUCACAGAGAGGCUUGAUACAACCCAGUUCUACCAGGUACCUAAAUUAAUACAAAAAAAAUUAGGCAAAUGAAAUUUUUAAUUAUGGAAAGCUUUCAUGAAACUGGUCAAGAGUCAUCCUAAAAUUCAUUAUACAGAGAAAAAUAGGUAACCAGUCAACUCUACAAACUACACCUUAUUAAAAAAAGCUACGAAAAAUUAAAACCCAUUUUCUAAUAACAUAUCCAUUCUUUUUUCCCUUCACAGGUUUUUGAUUUUCAAAAAAUGGAAAAUUUGGGAGCUGGGGAUUUAGCUCAGUGGCACAAGCGCCUGCCUUGCAAGCAGGAAGUCGUGAGUUCAAUCCCUGGUACCGAUGAAAAGGAAAAAGACAAACAAACAAAAAAUGAAAAAUGUUCUCCAUUCUUAGUAUCAACAAUCCCUGUUCUUUGGCUAGAUUGAUAUCACUUGUUUCAACAGAAAGCCACACGUUAAAGUCUCCUAAAAGCCAGCACAAACCCAAGAGGCCAAAUCUUUCAAAUGUGUAUCAGGCAACUACAAGAGAGCAAGAUGCUGGUGAAAACUAUUAGGAAUGACCGAAGCCCACAGGAGGAUGCCAAAUGCUGACAACCAUGCGGGCAGCAGGACUCACUCACUGCACUAGCGAUGCCCAAGAAGACACCACCUCAGAAGAUGGACUGGCAGCUUCUUAAUACACGUCUUUAUCAGUGACCAAAUCAAUUUAUUUUCUGUAAUUUAUGAUUUUUGCAAUUAUCUUAAGUUAUUUUUCCACCUAGCUAAGAAGAAAAUGGUAAAAGACUGAUAAUUCAUUUGGCAAAUUUUACAAAAUUCAUAUGGCAAAUUUUAUAAAAGGAAUGUAACAAUUGCCUAACAAAGCAAAAUAUACCCGAAUAUAUUAAAUUUUAAAAAUUUUUAAAAAGAAA